CUGAACUAUACUCCGAGAACGAAAGUUUUUGGUUUUAAUCAAUAACAACUUUCAGCAGUGGAUGUCUAGGCUCGCACAUCGAUGAAGAACGCUGCGAACUGCGAUACGUAAUGCGAAUUGCAGAAUUCAGUGAGUCAUCGAAAUUUUGAACGCACAUUGCACUUUCGGGAUAUUCCUGGAAGUAUGCUUGUAUCAGUGUCCGUACAUCAAACUUGCCUUUCUUUUUUUGUGUAGUCAAGAUUAGAAACGGCAGAAUGUGAGGUGUCUCGCUGGCUCCCUCUUCGGAGGAGAAGACGCGGGUCCCUUUAAAUGUACGUUCGCUCUUUCUUGUGUCUAAGUAGAAGUGUGACUUUCGAACGCAGUGAUCUGUUUGGAUCGCUUUGCGCGAGUGGGCGACUUCGGUUAGGACAUUAAAGGAAGCAACCUCUAUUGGCGGUAUGUUAGGCUUCGGCCCGACUUUGCAGCUGACAGUGUGUUGUUUUCUGUUCUUUCCUAGAGGUGUACCUGUCUUGUGUGAGGCAAUGGUCUGGGCAAAUGGUUAUUGUGUAGUAGAAUUUUGCUGCUCUUGGGCGCCUCACUUGUGGGGUAAAGAAGACAACACCAAUUUGGGACAGUUUGUGGGAUUUAUCUCGCAGGCGCUUU
rnacentral:rRNA from 1 species